CUGUGAGUCAUUAGGGGCCCUGGUUCCCCAGACAUAAUUGGCAGCUCCCUUGCUGUGCUUUCAUACCAUUCAAUCAUUCAGCAUUCGUUAGAAGCCGGCUAUGCUAUGCCUGGCCCAGGAAAACAGACUAACCACAUUGGAUCCUGCCCUCAGGGACCUCACGGUCUAAGCAAAAGGGAGGGUGACAGCAACCAGAAAGCACACAUCGAUGGCAGGAACUGACUCACUCAGAAUAAACUAGAAGACAGUCUCUCCACCAUCUCUUGUGAUGCUGUUAUCACACCGACGUGUCUGCUAUUACAGCACAUCAUACAUACUAUGCCUUAGCACCUACUGUAUGUGACUUAUCAAAAGGACCAAGGGAGAUGACACAAGCCAGAGUCAUCUGAGAGGAGGGAGCCUCAAUUCAGAAAACGCCUCCAUAAGAUCAGGCUGUAGGCAAACCUGCAGGGCCUUUUCUUAACUAAUGAUUGAUGGGGGAGGGCCCAGCCCACUGUGGGUGGUGCCAUCCCUAGACUGGUGGUCCUGUGUUCUCUAAGAAUGCAGGCUGAGCCAGGGUGCACCUGUCAUCCCAGCUCUCUAGGAAGCAGAGGCUGGUGGAUUUUCUGUGGAUUUGAGGCCAGCCUGGUCUACAAAGUGAGUUCAAGACUGUCCUGAAAAACUGGGAGGUGGGGGGGGGCUGGCUGAAGCCAGGGUGGUAGUGGCUCAUGUCUUUAAUCCCAGCACUCAGGAGGCAGAGGCAGGCAGUUCUCUGAGUUCAAGGUGGGCUGGUCUACAGAGCGAGUUCAGGGCUAUACAGAGAAACCUUGUCUUGAACCUCCCCCCCCCAAAAGAAAAAAAAGAAAAAGAAAAAGAAAAAAAGCAGCUGAGCAAGCUGUUGGGAGCAAGAGGCCAGUAAAGGCCUCUGCAUUAGCUCCUGACUCCAAGUUCCUACCCUGUGUGAAUUCCUGUCCUGCCUUCCUUCAAUGAUUUGGAAACAUAAUCCAAAUAAAUCAUUUCUUCCCCAAGUUGCUUUGGUUGUGGGGUUUCAUCACAGCACAAGUAGCCCUAACUAAGACAGGAGAUGAACCUAAAAACGGGCACUCAUGUCUUAGCUGAGACAUCUGGCAGGAACGAGAGAAUGGAUAUUCAGGACACAAGUGAGUAUCCCAGGGGGAGAAUGAGUCAUCCCUGGUUCUGUCUGAGUCUUAACCAGGAUUGCUCUGCCAUGCUGAACUUCUAGUUCAACCUCCCUGACUCUCUCCAUGCCUCUCCUACUCCUGGCUUUGCGCAUGCUGUGUGCACUGCUUGGGCUGGCCUCGCUUGCUUUUCAGUUGGCCAACUCGGCUCACGGAUUGUUUCCAGUGGGAAACCUUUGCCUGUCCUCUUCCCUUCUCGACCACAGCGAUUCCCUGGCAUUCCCACUCAGCUCCGUGACCUAAUGAACUCACCUGUGGAUGUGUGUCUCUU